rnacentral:rRNA from 1 species
CUACGGGACGCUCCAGUGAGGAAUUUUGCGCAAUGGGGGCAACCCUGACGCAGCAACGCCGCGUGAGUGAAGAAGGCCUUUGGGUCGUAAAGCUCUGUCAAUGGGGAAGAAGUUAUUAUGUGUUAAUAGCACAUUUUAUUGACGGUACCCAUGAAGGAAGCACCGGCUAACUCCGUGCCAGCAGCCGCGGUAAUACGGGGGGUGCAAGCGUUAUUCGGAAUUAUUGGGCGUAAAGGGCACGCAGGCGGUCCUGUCAGUCAGAUGUGAAAGCCCAGGGCUCAACCCUGGACGUGCAUUUGAAACAGCAGGACUUGAGUACGGGAGAGGAAAGGGGAAUUCCUGGUGUAGAGGUGAAAUUCGUAGAUAUCAGGAGGAACACCGGUGGCGAAGGCGCCUUUCUGGACCGAUACUGACGCUGAGGUGCGAAGGCGUGGGUAGCGAACGGGAUUAGAUACCCCAGUAGUC